rnacentral:piRNA from 1 species
UCCCUUGCCAUGAUGGUUUGAACCAGCACA